ACUCGCACGGAUCAGCUCCCGCCCCCCAGUGUCCAGAGGCCCAGGUCGGGAGAGCAGGUGCGAAGGCCGCGGAAUGGGGGGCUCGGGGGCAGCCCGCCUCCCUUGUCUGAAUGAAUGAAUGAAUCUGGGAUUGGCAGCCUGUUCCAAGGGCCACACCCUCCGUGCCUCCCAGGCCGGGCGUAGGAGGCUCACCCUUUGCAGCCUUAUCUAUGAUGUGCCCCCUGCAGCAGAUGAGGCCAGGAGACCGCUUUUAUCCGGAAGGGCCUCAUCCCCAGUCACUCACGCAGACCCCAGACCCCGGUAAAGGGCCCACCCAGGCAACGCAGACCCCAUCUCUCCCUCCCCACGCCCCCAGCCUCAAAGCCUGGAGGGCACCUGGGGUGAGGGAGGGGCAGGAAUCCAGAAAGAUGGCCCCUGGCUGCCCGUCCCGGCCUGGUGGGCGCAGGAGCUCCCUGCCACUGGGGAUCCAGCGGGAGGGCGGAGGCCCCCGCCCCCGCCAGGGCCCUGUUGCCACAGGAAGAUGGGCCUCCCGCAGGAAAUGAGAGGUUCCCGAAUGCUUGGGCUCCGGCCCCUCUGCCCUGCAGUGCGUGUGCCCGGUCAUCAGCCCGGGCCCGGGUCAAGUGCGUGGCUGUGUGGCUGUGUGCGCGAAGAGGAACUUAGAUGUCGCCAGCUUCUGCCCGAAUAAGCCGGGCGAGGGACUUCGCAGCUCCGUGCCGCAGCCCGGGACGGGGGCUGCGUGGGAAAAUUCGGUUCCAGACGCCGCUGAACAGAGGAGCCUGAACAACCCGUUCUCCUCCCUGGAGCCUGGGUGUGCCCGCGCCGGCCGCAGGCUUCCUGGGGCGCUGAGCUGCGAGAAGAGAUAAACAGGGCCCGGCUGGCCUGGCGAGGGUCUGCCCCGGCUUCCCCUCCAGCUCCCCCCGCCUCCUGGGAGAGUCCUCAGGGAAUGAGGGGUGUGCGACAGACGCAGGAAGAACUUCCCAGAGGGGCUGCUGCGUGCAUCCUGGGGGGUCUCUGGCAAGGACCCCGGAGGAAGUGGCCGGGAGGGGCAGGCGUCUGGCAGAGCAGCUACGAUGCCCGCGUCCCACCGCCCCUGGAUUCCUGCCGCCCACAUGGGAGACCUGAGUCCGGUUCCUGGAUGCUGGCUUCCGCCUUGCCCAGCCCUGGCUGUUGCCUGCAUUUGGGGCAUGAGCCAGUGGAUAGGUCUCCCUCCCUCUCUCUGCUCUCUGGCUCUCCAAUUGAAAACCCCAGGUGGCUGCCACCUCGGCAGCUCACAGCAAAGCAAGGCAGCGAGGGGGUGGGCUCGGGACUGUGCCCCCGUCCUCUGUUGUGCCUGCGACGCGCCCGGGCCUUCCUUCACCGUCUCCUGACCCCCAGGACAGCAGCCCCCUGGUGGGCAGCACGCCCGCCGGCUAUGGGACCCUGACGAUGGAGACGUCGAUCGAUCCCCUCAGCUCCUCAGUUUCAUCCGUGAGGCUCAGCGGCUACUGCGGCACCCCCUGGAGGGUCAUCGGCUACCACCUCGUGGUCUGGAUGAUGGCGGGGGUCCCUCUGCUGCUCUUCCGGUGGAAGCCCUGGUGGGGCGUGCGGCUGCGGCUGCGGCCCUGCCACCUGGCCCGCGCCGAAACGCUCGUCAUCGAAAUAAAAGACAAAGAGGUGAGGCCCA
rnacentral:lncRNA from 1 species